rnacentral:lncRNA from 1 species
CGAAUUAUUCGAUCUUAUACGUAUAAAGAAAAAUCCUCUAAAAUAUAUGACAUGUUACGUUGUUAAACGUGGAAUUCAAACUAUUGACCAGAUAGAUGAAUAUUCUCAGCAUUCAUUUAAUUAAUUAUCAAACAUAGACGUGCUCAUAGUAAUCGAACACAUCGCAUGCACGCAGGCUCUAAUGGGAAACAAAAACCGAGCAGCAUCACCAUCUUUUGCUUCUUCUUCUUCUUCUUCACGUACAUGUCUAUGCUCUCCUUCCACACAUCCAGGCUCAUUCCGAUGCAGCCUGCACAGGGGGAGGGGCCCACAAGCUGGGAAAUCAAGCAGUUCUACAAUCACAGCCGUCCAUCAUGUUAACAACCAAUCCACGAAGAUGAAGAUGAUGAAGAAACUGAUGAUGACCAACUCCAAAGCACACCUUCUCAAUGCCUUUCUCAAACUGAUGAUCAAGCCCUCCAGCCAUCACCUUCAAAGGAGGAUGAAUUUCAAGCCCAAGCCCACCAGGUUUUGUUUGAUGAACGUAUAGCAAACAUGGUGACGGGCUCCUGUGGGCUGCAAUGUAUUGCUAUUGUCUUAAAUAUAUUUAAUAGUUAAUUAAUUUUAGGAUUAGAAAAGAUUCUUUUCAAUUUCUUCUCUUGGUCCUAAUUCUCAUGAUUAAUAAGUUCUUGAGAAAGUUUUGCCCUUUUUUUAAACCCAGUUUCUAAUAAAAAUGAGAUUUUUUUUUUUUUUAAUCAAAUAGCAAAUUUUCCAUUUUCGCCUGCAAAACUCUCGAUUAUUCCACAAAAUUAUUUGGGAUUAGAACAGAUUGUG